rnacentral:rRNA from 1 species
ACGGGAGGCAGCAGUGGGGAAUAUUGCACAAUGGGCGCAAGCCUGAUGCAGCGACGCCGCGUGAAGGAUGAAGUAUUUCGGUAUGUAGACUUCUAUCAGCAGGGAAGAAAAUGACGGUACCUGACUAAGAAGCCCCGGCUAACUACGUGCCAGCAGCCGCGGUAAUACGUAGGGGGCAAGCGUUAUCCGGAUUUACUGGGUGUAAAGGGAGCGUAGACGGCUGUGCAAGUCUGGAGUGAAAACCCGGGGCUCAACCCCGGGAUUGCUUUGGAAACUGUGUAGCUGGAGUACCGGAGAGGCAAGUGGAAUUCCUAGUGUAGCGGUGAAAUGCGUAGAUAUUAGGAGGAACACCAGUGGCGAAGGCGGCUUGCUGGACGGUAACUGACGUUGAGGCUCGAAAGCGUGGGGAGCGAACAGGAUUAGAUACCCUGGUA